CCAUCCCCCAUCGGAUCAUCCUCAACACACCCCUCCCCGUCUUCGUCUCCUUCACACACUCUGCCCCAAGUCACCGGACUCAACCCAACUCGCCGGAGUCCCUCCAUAACCGCCAUAACAGACCAUACUCUUCAAAGAACAAACCAUCUUCAACCUCAAAACACCCCCUGAACUUCUACUUCUUCACUCUUGAACAUCCUUUUAAGUAGUCAAAGCCAUCAGCAAAGAACUCCAUCGACCUCAUAUCAGUAGCACUAAACACACACAUAGUCACACACUGAAGCAACAAAGGCAAAAAAGCAGCAAACAAAAAUCGGGGCUGAACAGUGAGGCGUCCCAAAGCAUUUUACAACCUUUUUCUGGCGAGUCUCGAGUUCUUUGGUUGAGUUUUGAUGACUGUUUCCAUUGGUUCUUUGUCGAGGUUCCAUUCGAGGUCGACGACGUUGGUUUCGCAUUCCAUUCACUUCGUAGAUGAUUUGUUGUACAAACUUCCCUUAUCAAUAUAAUCGGAAGGUUUUUUGAGAAAGAAAGCUACCAUCGUCAUAUGCUUUGGUUUGAGNNNNNNNNNNNNNNNNNNNNNNNNNGGACCUAGCCCACAAUUGCCAAGCCCAUAAUUCCUAGGCCCAUACCCUUUAACCUAAAACACUACCACUAACCUAGACCUAGGUAUAUAAAAACAAGCUAACACUAAAGAAUAAAUGAAAGGGAGAAGGCAGAAACACAAAAAAGCUGCGCAGACAAUACACGGACCCAUCCCCCAUCGGAUCAUCCUCAACACACCCCUCCCCGUCUUCGUCUCCUUCACACACUCUGCCCCAAGUCACCGGACUCAACCCAACUCGCCGGAGUCCCUCCAUAACCGCCAUAACAGACCAUACUCUUCAAAGAACAAACCAUCUUCAACCUCAAAACACCCCCUGAACUUCUACUUCUUCACUCUUGAACAUCCUUUUAAGUAGUCAAACCCAUCAGCAAAGAACUCCAUCGACCUCAUAUCAGUAGCACUAAACACACACAUAGUCACACACUGAAGCAACAGAAGCACAAAAGCAGCAAACAAAAAUCGGGGCUGAACAGUGAGGCGUCCCAAAGCGUUUUACAACCUUUUUCUGGCGAGUCUCGAGUUCUUUGGUUGAGUUUUGAUGACUGUUUCCAUUGGUUCUUUGUCGAGGUUCCGUCCGAGUUCGAUGGCGUUGGUUUCGCAUUCCAUUCACU
rnacentral:lncRNA from 1 species